GAUGAACGCUGGCGGCGUGCCUAAUACAUGCAAGUCGAGCGAACAGAUGAGGAGCUUGCUCCUCUGACGUUAGCGGCGGACGGGUGAGUAACACGUGGAUAACCUACCUAUAAGACUGGGAUAACUUCGGGAAACCGGAGCUAAUACCGGAUAAUAUAUUGAACCGCAUGGUUCAAUAGUGAAAGACGGUUUUGCUGUCACUUAUAGAUGGAUCCGCGCCGCAUUAGCUAGUUGGUAAGGUAACGGCUUACCAAGGCAACGAUGCGUAGCCGACCUGAGAGGGUGAUAGGCCACACUGGAACUGAGACACGGUCCAGACUCCUACGGGAGGCAGCAGUAGGGAAUCUUCCGCAAUGGUCGAAAGCCUGACGGAGUAACGCCGCGUGAGUGAUGAAGGUCUUCGGAUCGUAAAACUCUGUUAUUAGGGAAGAACAAAUGUGUAAGUAACUAUGCACGUCUUGACGGUACCUAAUCAGAAAGCAACGGCUAACUACGUG
rnacentral:rRNA from 1 species